rnacentral:tRNA from 1 species
GGCGAAGUGGUGAAAUCGGUAGACACGCGACGCUCAGAACGUCGUGCCCUUGAGGCGUGGGAGUUCGACUCUCCCCUUCGUCA